AUGGCGUUGACGGCUGCGAGGGAGAGCAGAGGGGCAGAGGGGGGAGGAGGAGGAGGCGGCAAUGGUGGCAAUGGCGAAGAGAGGAUCAAGCGGGAGCACAUGUUUGACAAGGUGGUGACGCCGAGCGACGUGGGCAAGCUGAACCGGCUGGUGGUGCCCAAGCAGUUCGCGGAGCGGCACAUCCUCCCGCGGCUGCUCGGCGGCGCGGGCGCCGUGCUGCGGUUCGAGGACGGCCGCGGCGGGGGCAGGGCGUGGGCGUUCCGCUUCUCCUACUGGGGCAGCAGCCAGAGCUACGUCAUGACCAAAGGGUGGAGCGCCUUCGUCCGUGACCGCCGCCUCGCCGCCGGCGACACCGUCUCUUUCUGCCGCGCGGGCGCACGCCUCUUCAUCGACUGCCGGCGGCGUGGCGCCGGAAUAGUAGCCUCGGCGCCGAUGACACGCCUCCUCGUGCCAGCAAUUGUGCCGCAAGUUCAGUCGACGUCGUCAGACGAGAGGGCGGCGCGUGGCCGCUGCGUCCGGCUGUUCGGCGUGGACCUCGAGCUCGCCGGCGCCGAGCCGCUGCCGCUAGAUUUGCAGCUAGCUUUGAUGAGAAGAUGA
rnacentral:rRNA from 1 species